AGACAUAUACAAUGUAUUUUUUUCAGCAUGUAUAUUGAAUUAAUACCACUUUCACCACAGGAGCAUUGAGCUGAAGGAAAGAGCAGAGAGGCGUGUCUCUCCUCCUGUUGCCUGUGUGUGCAAACUGAGCCACUGGGGAGAACUAAUGCUGCAGUAACCAGAGGAACCCAGAGAGAACAAAUGUGUCCAUCAGCAGACUCCCUGUCAGUCAGCUGAUCAUAUGGCCAUAGCCAAGAUGAUGCUGAACUCUCUGGUUGACUCCUUUUCAGCCACCAUGACACCUUCCUACUGGAAAGUUUCUGAGCUGGAUGGGAAUCCCACACAGAGCUGCCUGCUUCAGAGGGGGCUGGAGUCCCUCCACUCACUGUAACACAACACCACCAACAAGCUCUGUUACACUCAAAUACAUCUGCAUUACAUUCUGUAUAUUACAUUCAUUUGUGUUAUUUUCAGCAACUGCUGUAUAAUGAUUUAUGAUCAUAAUGUGGUUUAAGAUUAUUAUGUGAAUCAUUGUCUUCUGUGGUGAAUGGAUAUGUUUCUCAUUCGUAGUUAAUAUACAAGCAUAGUUUACAUUGAUCAAAAUCAGCAAACUGUUUGAUGUUCAUAUGUUUUUCCAUAUGGUUAUUAAAUCAUUUGUUUUAAAA